rnacentral:hammerhead_ribozyme from 1 species
ACUGCUGAAGAGUCCCAAACUAGGACGAAACAGUUGUCCAGU